rnacentral:lncRNA from 1 species
AGGCUGGCCUUCCCCAGAGCUGCAGCUUCGGUGACAGCCUGCUGCUGCCGCUGCGGCUGCGCUCUUUGCCCUUCAGGCUCUCGGCACCAUUGUGAUGCUGUAAUGAAGUAGAGCUGCCCUGUCAGAGCUCAUCAGCAGUCCCGUGAAGGCGGAAUGAAAUCACUUCUGUUGACCCCCCGGCAUAUUUAUAGGCUCGCUCUUUCUGCAGAGGCUGGUGGUUAUCACUUUCCCGUCCCGUGUUGUGUUUAUUCAGCAGCACGCUAAAUCACGCCCGUGUGCAAGUGGAGCAUUCAUCAGGAACACUGAACCCCUCUUUCAGGCUGCCAAACCCAUCCAAUUACUGGGGCUGGAAGGGCCUGCAAAAAAACUCUUCUACCAGGCAAGCCUCGAGAAAUUCCAAGGAACAAAGUUCAGCCAAUAUUUAGAGAAUGGCAUCUGUAAUAACACAGAAGUUUUCCAAGUUGACCCAUGGGCCCCAGGAAAACGUGAAAGAAGGGGAUCAUCGACAAAUUUUAGGGAAUCUGUGACCCCCCCAAAAAAAUUAUGCAAAAAUGAUAGAUCUCAAUGACACUUUUUGGAGACAAUUUCCAUAGCUUUCAUCAGAUUUGAGACGAGACCCAAAAGAUAACUGAAAGCCCCUGCAUUUAAACCAAAAGGCUACUGAUCUUAGAUUUCAAAUAAAAUCUAAUCAAGUAUUUUCUAACUUUUCUUCUUUGCUGCGACUUAACCCCUGAUCUUUACGGGCUUGCCAACAUUUUACGUUAG